CCUUUAUCUGGGGGAUAGCCUUUCGAAAGGGAGAUUAAUACCCCAUAAUAUAUCAGAUGGCAUCAUUUGAUAUUGAAAACUCCGGUGGAUAGAGAUGGGCACGCGCAAGAUUAGAUAGUUGGUGAGGUAACGGCUCACCAAGUCUGCGAUCUUUAGGGGGCCUGAGAGGGUGAUCCCCCACACUGGUACUGAGACACGGACCAGACUCCUACGGGAGGCAGCAGUGAGGAAUAUUGGACAAUGGGUGAGAGCCUGAUCCAGCCAUCCCGCGUGAAGGACGACGGCCCUAUGGGUUGUAAACUUCUUUUGUAUAGGGAUAAACCUAGAUACGUGUAUCUAGCUGAAGGUACUAUACGAAUAAGCACCGGCUAACUCCGUGCCAGCAGCCGCGGUAAUACGGAGGGUGCAAGCGUUAUCCGGAUUUAUUGGGUUUAAAGGGUCCGUAGGCGGAUCUGUAAGUCAGUGGUGAAAUCUCACAGCUUAACUGUGAAACUGCCAUUGAUACUGCAGGUCUUGAGUGUUGUUGAAGUAGCUGGAAUAAGUAGUGUAGCGGUGAAAUGCAUAGAUAUUACUUAGAACACCAAUUGCGAAGGCAGGUUACUAAGCAACAACUGACGCUGAUGGACGAAAGCGUGGGGAGCGAACAGGAUUAGAUACCCUGGUAGUCCACGCCGUAAACGAUGCUAACUCGUUUUUGGUUUUUCGGAAUCAGAGACUAAGCGAAAGUGAUAAGUUAGCCACCUGGGGAGUACGUUCGCAAGAAUGAAACUCAAAGGAAUUGACGGGGGCCCGCACAAGCGGUGGAUUAUGUGGUUUAAUUCGAUGAUACGCGAGGAACCUUACCAAGGCUUAAAUGGGAAAUGACAGGUUUAGAAAUAGACUUUUCUUCGGACAUUUUUCAAGGUGCUGCAUGGUUGUCGUCAGCUCGUGCCGUGAGGUGUUAGGUUAAGUCCUGCAACGAGCGCAACCCCUGUCACUAGUUGCCAUCAUUAAGUUGGGGACUCUAGUGAGACUGCCUACGCAAGUAGAGAGGAAGGUGGGGAUGACGUCAAAUCAUCACGGCCCUUACGCCUUGGGCCACACACGUAAUACAAUGGCCGGUACAGAGGGCAGCUACACAGCGAUGUGAUGCAAAUCUCGAAAGCCGGUCUCAGUUCGGAUUGGAGUCUGCAACUCGACUCUAUGAAGCUGGAAUCGCUAGUAAUCGCGCAUCAGCCAUGGCGCG
rnacentral:rRNA from 1 species